AUACAGUGAUGACUGCAUAGUUCAGCAGAAUCUGCUGUGUUGAACACUCGUGCUUCGCCCCUAUCUGAUGUAUCU